rnacentral:rRNA from 1 species
UGGGGAAUAUUGGACAAUGGGCGAAAGCCUGAUCCAGCCAUGCCGCGUGUGUGAAGAAGGCCUUUUGGUUGUAAAGCACUUUAAGCGAGGAGGAGGCUACUAGUACUAAUACUACUGGAUAGUGGACGUUACUCGCAGAAUAAGCACCGGCUAACUCUGUGCCAGCAGCCGCGGUAAUACAGAGGGUGCGAGCGUUAAUCGGAUUUACUGGGCGUAAAGCGUGCGUAGGCGGCUGAUUAAGUCGGAUGUGAAAUCCCUGAGCUUAACUUAGGAAUUGCAUUAGAUACUGGUCAGCUAGAGUAUGGGAGAGGAUGGUAGAAUUCCAGGUGUAGCGGUGAAAUGCGUAGAGAUCUGGAGGAAUACCGAUGGCGAAGGCAGCCAUCUGGCCUAAUACUGACGCUGAGGUACGAAAGCAUGGGGAGCAAACAGG